AGCAGCCGCGGUAAUUCCAGCUCCAAUAGCGUAUAUUAAAGUUGUUGCAGUUAAAAAGCUCGUAGUUGAAUUUCGGGAUCAAUAUGUUGGUCGUGCCAUUGGUACGCACUGGCAUUAUUGGUUUCUACCUUCUGAAGAACCUCGAUGUCAUUAAUUUGGUGUCUUGGGGAAUCAGGACUGUUACUUUGAAAAAAUUAGAGUGUUUAAAGCAAGCUCGCGCUUGAAUACAUUAGCAUGGAAUAAUGAAAUAGGACGUUUGAUUCUAUUUUGUUGGUUUCUAGGAUCGACGUAAUGAUUAAUAGGGAUAGUUGGGGGCAUUAGUAUUCAAUUGUCAGAGGUGAAAUUCUUGGAUUUAUUGAAGACUAACUACUGCGAAAGCAUUUGCCAAGGAUGUUUUCAUUAAUCAAGAACGAAAGUUAGGGGAUCGAAGACGAUCAGAUACCGUCGUAGUCUUAACCAUAAACUAUGCCGACUAGGGAUCGGAUGAUGUUAAUUUUUUAAUGACUCAUUCGGCGCCUUACG
rnacentral:rRNA from 1 species